AAGACCUUGCACUUUUGGAGCGGCCGAUGUCUGAUUAGCUAGUUGGUGGGGUAAUGGCCUACCAAAGCUUCGAUCAGUAGCUGGUCUGAGAGGACGGCCAGCCACACUGGGACUGAGACACGGCCCAGACUCCUACGGGAGGCAGCAGUGGGGAAUUUUGGACGAUGGGCGCAAGCCUGAUCCAGCCAUGCCGCGUGAGUGAAGAAGGCCUUCGGGUUGUAAAGCUCUUUCAGCCGGGAGGAAAAGGUUGCGACUAAUAAUCGCAAUUCAUGACGGUACCGAAAGAAGAAGCACCGGCUAACUACGUGCCAGCAGCCGCGGUAAUACGUAGGGUGCGAGCGUUAAUCGGAAUUACUGGGCGUAAAGGGUGCGCAGGCGGUUUUGUAAGUCAGAUGUGAAAUCCCCGGGCUUAACCUGGGAACU
rnacentral:rRNA from 1 species